rnacentral:rRNA from 1 species
UUGGAGGGCAAGUCUGGUGCCAGCAGCCGCGGUAAUUCCAGCUCCAAUAGCGUAUAUUAAAGUUGUUGCAGUUAAAAAGCUCGUAGUUGAAUUUCGGGAUUAGUGCGCCGGUCGUGCCUUCGGUAUGUACUGGUGUUACUGGUUCCUACCUUCUGACGAACCGUCAUGUCAUUAAUUUGGUGUGGCGGGGAAUCAGGACUGUUACUUUGAAAAAAUUAGAGUGUUUAAAGCAGGCUCGCGCUUGAAUACAUUAGCAUGGAAUAAUGAAAUAGGACGUUCGAUCCUAUUUUGUUGGUUUCUAGGAUUGACGUAAUGAUUAAUAGGGAUAGUUGGGGACAUUAGUAUUCAAUUGUCAGAGGUGAAAUUCUUGGAUUUAUUGAAGACUAACUACUGCGAAAGCAUUUGCCAAGGAUGUUUUCAUUAAUCAAGAACGAAAGUUAGGGGAUCGAAGACGAUCAGAUACCGUCGUAGUCUUAACCAUAAACUAUGCCGACUAGGGAUCGGAUGAUGUUAAUUUUUUAAUGGCUCAUUCGGCGCCUUACGGGAAAC